rnacentral:rRNA from 1 species
GUCUCCUUUAUUUAAUCAGUUAAACUAAUCUUCCCGUGAAGAAGCGGGAAUAUCAAUAUAAGACGAGAAGACCCUGUGGAGCUUUAAACACUUCAGAACACUUGAUUUCUCCAUUAAAAAUUUCCAAAACCUUUACUAAGCCUAUCAUAUUGUUUUAAGUUUUAGGUUGGGGUGACCACGGAGAUAAACCUAACCUCCACGUAGAAAGAAACUUAUUUCUAAGCAAAAAGCCACAUCUUUAUGCAUCAACACAUUGACUUUAAUUGACCCAUUUACUUGAUCAACGAACCAAGUUACCCCAGGGAUAACAGCGCAAUCCGCCUUAAGAGCUCCUAUCGACAGGCGGGCUUACGACCUCGAUGUUGGAUCAGGGUGUCCUGGGGGUGCAACAGCUACUAACGGUUC